rnacentral:rRNA from 1 species
AAGCGGAGGAAAAGAAACUAACAAGGAUUCCCCUAGUAACGGCGAGUGAACCGGGAAGAGCUCAAAUUUGAAAUCUGGCGUCCUCAGGGCGUCCGAGUUGUAAUCUAUAGAGGCGUUUUCCGUGCCGGACCGUGUCCAAGUUCCUUGGAACAGGAUAUCAAAGAGGGUGACAAUCCCGUACUUGACACGACGACCGGUGCUCUGUGAUACGUCUUCUACGAGUCGAGUUGUUUGGGAAUGCAGCUCAAAAUGGGUGGUGAGUUCCAUCUAAAGCUAAAUAUUGGCGAGAGACCGAUAGCGAACAAGUACCGUGAGGGAAAGAUGAAAAGCACUUUGGAAAGAGAGUUAAACAGUACGUGAAAUUGUUGAAAGGGAAACGAUUGAAGUCAGUCGUGACCGAGAGGCUCAGCCGGUUCUGCCGGUGUAUUCCCCUCGGUCGGGUCAACAUCAGUUUUGUCCGGUGGAUAAGGACGGUAGGAAGGUGGCACCCUCGGGUGUGUUAUAGCCUGCCGUCGCAUACAUCGGGUGAGACUGAGGAACGCAGCUCGCCUUUAUGGCCGGGGUUCGCCCACGUCCGAGCUUAGGAUGUUGACAUAAUGGCUUUAAACGACCCGUCUUGAAACACGGACC